rnacentral:rRNA from 1 species
AACGAACGCUGGCGGCAUGCCUAACACAUGCAAGUCGAACGAGACCUUCGGGUCUAGUGGCGCACGGGUGCGUAACGCGUGGGAACCUGCCCUUAGGUUCGGAAUAACUCCCCGAAAGGGGUGCUAAUACCGGAUAAUGUCUUCGGACCAAAGAUUUAUCGCCUUUGGAUGGGCCCGCGUUGGAUUAGCUAGUUGGUAGGGUAAAAGCCUACCAAGGCGACGAUCCAUAGCUGGUCUGAGAGGAUGGUCAGCCACACUGGGACUGAGACACGGCCCAGACUCCUACGGGAGGCAGCAGUGGGGAAUAUUGGACAAUGGGCGAAAGCCUGAUCCAGCAAUGCCGCGUGAGUGAUGAAGGCCUUAGGGUUGUAAAGCUCUUUUACCCGGGAUGAUAAUGACAGUACCGGGAGAAUAAGCUCCGGCUAACUCCGU